rnacentral:rRNA from 1 species
GACGAACGCUGGCGGCGUGCUUAACACAUGCAGGUCGAACGGAAAGGCCCUGCUUUUGUGGGGUGCUCGAGUGGCGAACGGGUGAGUAACACGUGAGUAACCUGCCCUUGACUUUGGGAUAACUUCAGGAAACUGGGGCUAAUACCGGAUAGGAGCUCCUGCUGCAUGGUGGGGGUUGGAAAGUUUCGGCGGUUGGGGAUGGACUCGCGGCUUAUCAGCUUGUUGGUGGGGUAGUGGCUUACCAAGGCUUUGACGGGUAGCCGGCCUGAGGGGGUGACCGGCCACAUUGGGACUGAGAUACGGCCCAGACUCCUACGGGAGGCAGCAGUGGGGAAUAUUGCACAAUGGGCGGAAGCCUGAUGCAGCAACGCCGCGUGCGGGAUGACGGCCUUCGGGUUGUAAACCGCUUUCGCCUGUGACGAAGCGUGAGUGACGGUAAUGGGUAAAGAAGCACCGGCUAACUACGUG